AUGUUGGCUUUUAUACUUAUAUUGCUGACUUUAACUGAAGGAAACAGAGCCAGAGAUGUUAUCAUGCCGUAUAGCGAUGCAGUAAUUGCCACUGAGAGUGAGAAUGUGACACUCUCUUGUAACUACACUGGUUCUGUUGAUAGUCUUCACUGGUAUCGGCAAUACACAGGUUUGCCUCCACAGUUCCUUAUACUGGAUUACUCAGGAUUUAUUACUGAAGCUCGUCCUCCAGUUUCUGGAAUCUCCAUCAAACACAGAAAAGAAAGCACUAGUGUGGAUCUAGAGAUCUGCUCUGCUGCAGUAUCAGACUCUGCUCUAUACUACUGCGCCCUGCAGCCCACAGUGACAGGAAAACUCUUCUCACCAUGCAAAAAACACGACUCAGCAGUUAACAACACAUAA